rnacentral:misc_RNA from 1 species
UGAGUGGUGUUUGGUUUGUUACGUGUGGUUGGCUGCGGCGUUUGCAACAACUUCCAUGCUUUCAGACCUCUUCAGUUGUGCGGCAAGGCUUGUAUCGCCUUGAGCGUAUUGUGGGUUUUCUGUGUUGACUACCUAAUCAAUGGUAUCGGUUGGAUUGAUCAAAGUUUCAUUUCGUCUUCCGUCGCAUUCGCGGCGUGAGAUGAACCUCGACGCGGUCUCUUUGAUCCACCUCGUCAAAGCACAUGCUUUGACGUUGUGGCACAUUGAGCAUUGCUUGGUCUCUUGUAUACGGAACAUAUAGUGGGCAUGGAUCUAACGAUUCUUGUUUGCCCUCAUAUUAGCGUAACGCUUCUCUAACACGACUUGCUCCACGUUUUAGCUCGUACGGACGUGGUGCUAUGUCGAAGAGGAAUGCUACCUGGUUGAUC